rnacentral:rRNA from 1 species
CAGUAGCCGCGGUAACACGGAGGAUCCAAGCGUUAUCCGGAAUCAUUGGGUUUAAAGGGUCCGUAGGCGGUCUUGUAAGUCAGUGGUGAAAGCCCAUCGCUCAACGGUGGAACGGCCAUUGAUACUGCAGGACUUGAAUUAUUGGGAAGUAACUAGAAUAUGUAGUGUAGCGGUGAAAUGCUUAGAGAUUACAUGGAAUACCAAUUGCGAAGGCAGGUUACUACCAAUUGAUUUACGCUGAUGGACGAAAGCGUGGGUAGCGAACAGGAUUAGAUACCCCUGUAGUCCCUGUCUCUUAUAC